AACUGCUACUGCAUGCUGUGCCAAUUAUUAUGAUGCAUUUAACUCUUUUUAUUCUGAUAGUACACUGGUUUUCAAAUAUAUGUAUGCAGCUCAUACAGGUCCAACAAGACACAAGGGACCUGGUUCUUUACAAAGGGUCAGUGUUGAAGGUCUCCUGUUCUGUAACCGGCAUGAGUACUGCUAACCCGAAUCUUUACUGGUACCACUGGAACGAGACAGCAGGGUUCACACUGGUCUUCACCUCUACUGCCACUGGUUCAGUAAAUCAGGUAUGCAGCUCAUACAGGUUCAACAAGACACAAGAGACCUGGUUCUUUACAAAGGAUCAUCGUUGAAGGUCUCCUGUUCUGUAACCGGCAUGAGUACUGCUAACACGUAUCUUUACUGGUACCACUGGAACGAGACAGCAGGGUUCACACUGGUCUUCACCUCUACUACCAUUGGUUCAGUAAACCCAGUCAGUGAGGGUCAGUUUAAAUGUGAAAGACCUGAAAAGUAUAAGAUCAUUCUGGAGUCUGAUGGAGUGAUUGAGACUGGCUCUGCAGUGUGGUAUUGUGCAGCCAGGUCUCACAGCAUCCCAGAGUCUUCUGAGAGCUGUACAAAAACCACAGUUUUUCAUUAAGAUUAACAUUUGGUUGAAGUUUGGGUGAAGACUCAAGAUUCAACAUUAGGAAAUUAAACACAACACAAAAUUCUCAUUUUGAGGAAAAUAUUGAGAUUUGUCAAAGUUUGUUCCAGAUGCAUUUUUCCAUGUAACCUUACAUUUACUG